UACGGAGGGGGCUAGCGUUGUUCGGAAUUACUGGGCGUAAAGCGCACGUAGGCGGACUGUUAAGUCGGGGGUGAAAUCCUGGGGCUCAACCUCAGAAUUGCCUCCGAUACUGGCAGUCUCGAGUGCGGGAGAGGUGAGUGGAAUUCCCAGUGUAGAGGUGAAAUUCGUAGAUAUUGGGAAGAACACCAGUGGCGAAGGCGGCUCACUGGCCCGUAACUGACGCUGAGGUGCGAAAGUGUGGGGAGCAAACGGG
rnacentral:rRNA from 1 species